AGUUUGGUAGUGGGGGGAGGGACGCAGAGAUGGCUUCUGUAGGAAGUUUCUGGAAACUUCCACCAUGUCCAGAAGAGCCAAUCCCCCAUGGCUCUGAAGAUGGACAUGCUGCUGGUCAAACCUGGGCUAAUGAGAGAGGUUGGUAACACCUCUGUGAUAACAUAUUUAAGAAGAAAAUCAACGUGUACAGAGUUUACUUCUAGAAGAGGAGAAGAUGAGGACAUGUGAGGGAAACAACAUGGUGACACCAAGGAAAUGCCACAGAUGUUACUGGAAAACAGUUUCUACCUGACUCAACAGCCCACAAGAUUCUCAAUAGCUCACAAGCCAGCUUACACAAUUGGAAUGUCAUUAUGGAAAGUAGAUUUCUGUCUCACAUUGCUUGUAUAAACAAAGAUGCAGUUCUGCAUGAGAUCCUGCAAAUCAUCUCCUGGGAUUCAUGGUCCUCAGUAGUGAGGGAGUGCAGUAGUUUGCUUCUGGCAUAUAUGAGACUCUAGCUUGGUGGUUCCCAGUUUCUGGUGGGCAAAAAAUCAAAACAGCAGCAGGAAAAAAUGCCUCUUCUUGGCCUGGAUUUUUAUUGCCCUCUCUGAGGAGUAGUGGUAUGUAACUUUAAGACACAGGGAGUAGUGUUGUUCUUUAGAAGACCUUUAGGAGCCCAUUAGUCACUUGCGUGACAGGAUAAAAAUUUUCUGUCGCUUGGGUGGGGAAGGGUCUCACUAGUUUCAGAAACAGAAAUUUUUCCAUUCACUGACAUGUUAUACUUCUGUUAUUGCUUGGGUUUUCUUCAUUUACUUCUUUUAGAACAUUUUUCACAUGGUACAGUUAAUUAAUAUGAAAGAGACUGUAUCUAUGUUGAUUCAACUGGUCUUUUAUAUAAAAUCCCCAAGUCAGCUUUAGUAGCUGGAAAUGCAGCAGUUUCUCUUCAAAUACAAAUUGUAUCAUAGCUGAUAAGUCAAAUUAAGCCUGAACAAGCAAUCCUAGACUACAUCUUAGCUAGUUUAAGAAUCAGUUUUAGAGAUUUAUCAUACCACAGAGUUCUGUUCUGUAUUAUCUCCAUGUGCCAUGAUUUAAACAUUUACCAACUACUUACUGGUAAUAACAUAGACACAGAAUAUCUCAGUCCAUGAAGUACAGCAUAUGCAACUGCACAGAGAUCUCAUCAGUGCCAUGGGGACUCCACACUGAGAGGAAAAAAAUUCUGAAUAAACUGGUUUUGCAUGUGUAUAAGUCUGUACAUUGGGAUUCAUCCAGUGUGGUGGCUUUGACAUUUUUCCUUUCUUUUUAAUAUUUUUUUAAUACAGUAGCUUCCCAUUAUGAAAUCAGUAGUGUGACAGGGGACAAGGGAAAUCACAGAUAAACAGAAUUUGCCACUGUUUAAUAAAACCAUGCAUUUGAUGCAUUGAUAAGCUGAAAUUUAGCAAGUCUUAAGAUUCAAUUGUGUUAAGUAGAUGACUAUAGAAAGAGGCAUAUACCUACAGGCAGCACACUUAAGCUGCAAAACUGUGUGUUGUCUCAAGAAAAUGAAGGACUCUCCACAACAGAAAUUUUACAUGAGUUCAUUCACUAUCCUGGAUGCCACUGUAGCAGAAGCAGCUGCUCCUAUACCCUUGCCUGCAAAUGACUGGCUUACUGGUGAGCUGACUCAGGAGGAAUGUCAAACACAAACAGACCCUUUCCAUCGCAGGAAAAACCCAUCGGGAAAUUUUGGAGCUCAGUCCUUUGCAUGGCAAUAUGUUUAGAGAAAGGAAAUAACUGCUUCUCACGUUGCUCUCUUCUCACCUCUCACAAGAGAUCUUCAACAUUUUUUGAAAAUUAUUUAAAGAAUUAUUACCCCUGAAUGAAGGGGAUGGGGAAAGGCUUUAUCUUUUAUCGAUCACAUUAAUUGCAUAAUUUUGUCUAUUGCUUGGUAGGCUGGAUAGCCAUAACUUUUAAAAAUAAUUUUUAUAAAUAUAGAAAAAAUACUGCUUAUAAUUUUUAUAAUGUUUGGUACAAAUGCAGACUUUCAUUUUCACAUUGCUUUCCCAUGUUUCUCUACAACUAGAAAACAUUGCCUCAUUGUCAUGUGUUUUGCCUUUUAAAAAUUAUUUACUGUAGUCCUGUAAGACAUCAAAGAUUUUAAGGGUUCUCAAUUUUUUGGGGGCACAAAAGGCGAAACCCGCCUCUGCCCCCUCACCGCACCAAUAGGUUACAACACAUAGGUCACAUGAAGCUUGUCUUCAGAGGACAUCUAUGUGCUCCUCAGUGCAGCAGAGUUCAGCAAGGCUCUAAGGGAGACGGUACAGUCAUGUGCUGC